CCUACGGGAGGCAGCAGUAGGGAAUUUUCGUCAAUGUGCGCAAGCCUGAACGAGCGAUGCCUCGUGAGUGAAGAAGGCCUUCGGGGCGUAAAGCUCUGUUUCGGGGGAAAAAAGGCAGCAUCAGAAAAUGGGUGCUGACUUAUGGUUCCCCGCCAGAAAGUCACGGCUAACUACGUGCCAGCAGCCGCGGUCAUACGUAGGUGGCGAGCUUUAUCCGGAAGGAUUGGGCGUAAAGGGUGCGCAGGCGUUGCUGCAAGUCUGGAGUGAAACGCAUGGGAUAAACUCAUGCAUGGCUUUGGAAACUGGAGGACUGGAGAGCAGGAGAGGGUGGUGGAACUACAUGUGUAGCGGUAAAAUGCGUAGAUAUAUGGAAGAACACCAGUGGCGAAGGCGGCAGCCUGGCCUGUUGCUGACGCUGAGGCACGAAAGCGUGGGGAGCAAAUAGGAUUAGAUACCCUAGUAGUC
rnacentral:rRNA from 1 species